GAGAAUGGGAAGAAUUAGCCAGAAGGAAAGGUGGGGAGGAGGGCUGGGACAUUCCAGGCAAUGGAAAAGAUAGGACAGAACAAAAGACACAGCAGAAGCAUCGGAUCUCAGGAGCCACAGAAACCAUAACACGGAGACGGGAGACAGGAACCCAAGUGGACCAGCGCAAAGAAAGCAGCAAAGCCCAGCACCUGGAAAUCACCUCGUGUGAGCCGAAGGCUACAGGGACCUCUCAAGGCCCAAGACCGAGGGAUCAGCCAUUCUCACAGAGGGAGGGAGCGCUGGGCCUGGACCAGGACCUUGUGCACGCUAGGCAAGCGCUCUGUUUCUGAGCUACAUUCCCAGCUUUAUGAGUUCUCACCUAUACAUUUUCCCACAAUCCUAAGGAUGAUGAUGAUACAGAAGUGUUAGCUCUGGUACUGGGGGACAAGUCUUUUUGGGCUAUUAUGGUACUAUCUGAUAUCCCUGCUCCGGGGUCAGAGCAGAGGUAGUAGCCCAUGUGUUUGCCAAAUGAACAUUGAAAAAAAUAAUAGCUAUGCUUGAGAAAGAACUGACCACAGGAGGGUAAAGGUGGAUAGCAGGGGUGGGCAGACACUUUGAAGUGGGGUGUUCUGACCUUCAGC